GAUGAACGCUGGCGGCGUGCCUAACACAUGCAAGUCGAACGGGCACGGUUUGAAACCUAGUGAUAACCGUGUUAGUGGCGGACGGGUGAGUAACGCGUGGGCAACCUGCCCCAUACCGGGGGAUACCAGCCGGAAACGGCUGCUAAAACCGCAUAAGCGCACAGUACCGCAUGGUACAGUGUGAAAAACUCCGGUGGUAUGGGAUGGGCCCGCGUCCGAUUAGCCAGUUGGCGGGGUAGCGGCCCACCAAAGCGACGAUCGGUAGCCGGCCUGAGAGGGCGGACGGCCACAUUGGGACUGAGACACGGCCCAA
rnacentral:rRNA from 1 species